rnacentral:miRNA from 1 species
AUCACCAUGGGAUCCUAUUAAAUGCAGGUUCUGAUGCAGUAGGUCUGAAGUGGGGCUGAGAUUCUGCAUUUCUAACAAGUGCCCAGGGAUGCC